rnacentral:rRNA from 1 species
UACGGAGGGAGCUAGCGUUGUUCGGAAUUACUGGGCGUAAAGCGCACGUAGGCGGCUUUUUAAGUCAGGGGUGAAAUCCCAGGGCUCAACCCUGGAACUGCCUUUAAUACUGCUGGUCUGGAGUCCGAGAGAGGUGAGUGGAAUUCCGAGUGUAGAGGUGAAAUUCGUAGAUAUUCGGAGGAACACCAGUGGCGAAGGCGGCUCACUGGCUCGGUACUGACGCUGAGGUGCGAAAGCGUGGGGAGCAAACAGG